GUCCAGGGUAGCCUAGUGGACAUGGCAUCUGCCCGGUAAGCGGAACAUUGUGGGUUCGAUUCCCAUCCUUGUACA
rnacentral:tRNA from 1 species